rnacentral:rRNA from 1 species
AUACGUAGGGAGCGAGCGUUGUCCGGAAUUACUGGGCGUAAAGGGAGCGUAGGCGGGAAGGCAAGUUGGAUGUGAAAACUGUGGGCUCAACCGACAGACUGCAUUCAAAACUGUUUUUCUUGAGUGAAGUAGAGGCAAGCGGAAUUCCUAGUGUAGCGGUGAAAUGCGUAGAUAUUAGGAGGAACACCAGUGGCGAAGGCGGCUUGCUGGGCUUUUACUGACGCUGAGGCUCGAAAGUGUGGGGAGCAAACAGGAUUAGAUACCCUGGUAGUCCACACCGUAAACGAUGAUUACUAGGUGUGGGGGCGUCAAGCUUCCGUGCCGGAGUUAACACAAUAAGUAAUCCACCUGGGGAGUACGGCCGCAAGGUUGAAACUCAAAGGAAUUGACGGGG